rnacentral:rRNA from 1 species
AACGCGAAGAACCUUACCUGGGUUAAAUCCCAGUUGCAAGGCGCAGAGAUGCGCCCCUCCCGCAAGGGACGGCUGGGAAGGUGCUGCAUGGCUGUCGUCAGCUCGUGUCGUGAGAUGUUGGGUUAAGUCCCGCAACGAGCGCAACCCUUACCACUAGUUGCCAGCAUUUAGUUGGGCACUCUAGCGGAACUGCCGGUGAUAAACCGGAGGAAGGUGGGGAUGACGUCAAGUCAUCAUGGCCUCUAUGUCCAGGGCUACACACGUGCUACAAUGGCCGGUACAAACCGCUGCGAACCCGCGAGGGGGAGCCAAUCGGAAAAAGCCGGUCUCAGUUCGGAUUGGAGUCUGCAACUCGACUCCAUGAAGUUGGAAUCGCUAGUAAUCGCAGAUCAGCACGCUGCGGUGAAUACGUUCCCGGGCCUUGUACACACCGCGAGC